AACUCUAUUCAAAAAAAAAGUUCAUCCUUCAAAUGUUCUCACCCACCAAGUCGUUGCACACUCUCUAUUUCAUUCCCGUGUGCCAAUAAGUGAAUGAGAGAAUGCGGCGCAUGCGCUAAAAACUGUAUGCAGCAAU
ensembl:ncRNA T04F8.12 ncRNA